CUCUGCGCCAGUCUCGAUGUCGCUUAUGUUGAUACAUGAAAACAACACCAAGUUAUUCCCGCAAGGUUUGAAGGCUUGACAAAAUCCUCCCCGCUGACCCCUCAAGGCCAAACGGUUAACAGCAAGUCUGGGGUUGAUUUUUCAUCUUCGAAGCGUCUCAUCCAAAGGUUAAAGAAGCAAGACGACACGCGUGUCUGUGUGAAUUCCGCAAAGCCGGCAAAACCGUACGAUGUAUUACUUGCAGCAGACAAAAAUCACAAUAUCAUCUGCGAACAUCAGAGUCCAAGGGGAUUCCAGUCUAACCUCGUCUGCCAGCCUAUCCAUUACAACUGCAAACAGGAAGGGGCUCAGAGCGGAUCCCUGAUGCAGUCCCAGCUCCACAUAAAUUCUUCUGACACACCUACAGCACAUCUCACCACUGUUCUGCUGUCCUCAUACAUGUCCUGUACUAUUCUAACAUAUUUCUCCGGACUUGCGCAUGCAGUACCACAGUUCCUCUCUUGCUACUCUUUCAUAGGUUUUCUCUCGGUCUACAAAAACACGUAGCUCCUUCUGACCUUCUCUGUACUUUUCCACCAGCAUCCUCAAGGCAAAUAAUGCAUUUGUGGUACUCUUUCAAGGAAUUCUUAGUGUACUGGUAAA